rnacentral:rRNA from 1 species
UAAAAAAUUAUUAUUUUCUAAGUAAAUUUAGUUUAUUUAAAGAAAAAAAUUUAAUUUUAGUAUAAAUUAGAAAAAAGUUUUUUUAUUAUAGUAUAUAAGUAUUGUGAAAGAAAUAUUUAAUUAAUUUUAAAGAAAAUUUUUAUUUUGUACCUUGUGUAUCAGGGUUAAUUAAAUAAUAUAAAAAUUUUAUUUUCUCGAAUUUAAAAGAGCUAAAAUAAUAGGUAUUUUAUUGUAGAAUAAAUAUUUGUAAUAUUAUUUUAGUAAUGAAAUGUUAUUCGUUUUUAAUAUAUCUAGUUAUUUUAGAAAAAAAUUUAAUUUUUUUAUUAACAAUAUAAAAUUUAAUUUUUAAUUUUAUAUUAUUAAUAGAUAAUUUAUAAGGGGAUAAGCUUUUAUAAAAAUAUUUAAAAAUUAAUAAAAAAAUAGAAUAUCUAUAGGAUUAGAAGUUUUCAUUAAUAAAAUAAUGUUAUAAUUAAUUUUUUUAAAAUAAUUAUUUAUAUUAAUUUUAAAUAUUUUAUAAAAUUUUAAAUUUUAAUUAUUAAAAUUUAGUAAUAAUGAUUAAAUAAGUAAAUAAAAAUUGUAUAAUAAAUAUAAUUUUAAGGUUAAAUAAAGGAAUUCGGCAAAAAAUUUUCUACCUGUUUAUUAAAAACAUGGCUUUUUGAAAAUAAUUUAAAGUCUGGCCUGCCCACUGAAUAUUUAAAGGGCCGCGGUAAUUUGACCGUGCUAAGGUAGCAUAAUCAUUAGUUUUUUAAUUGAAAGCUGGUAUGAAUGGUCGGAUAAGAAAAUAACUGUCUCUAUUUAAUUUUAUUUGAAUUUUAUUUUUAAGUUAAAAAGCUUAAAUUAAUUUAAAAGACGAGAAGACCCUAUAGAGUUUUAUAAAAUUUUAAAUUUAAAUUUUUAGAAUUAUAAUUUUGUAUUUAAAAUUUUAUUUGAUUGGGGCGAUUGAAAAAUUUAAUUAACUUUUUUUAUAUAAUAACAUUAAUUUAUGAAUUUUUGAUCCAUUAAUAAUGAUUAUAAGAUUAAAUUACCUUAGGGAUAACAGCGUAAUUUUUUUUGAGAGUUCAAAUCGAAAAAAAAGUUUGCGACCUCGAUGUUGGAUUAAAAUUAAUUUUUGGUGUAGAGGCUAAAAAAUUAGGUCUGUUCGACCUUCAAAAUUUUACAUGAUCUGAGUUUAAACCGGUGUGAGCCAGGUUGGUUUCUAUCUUUAAUUAGUUAAUAUAUUUUAGUACGAAAGGACCAAAUGUAUAAUAAAUUAUUUUAAAUUGAAUUUUAUU